rnacentral:ribozyme from 1 species
CUAAGGACUUGAUUGUAUUGAGCCUUGGUAUGGAAACCUGCUAAGUGGUAACUUCCAAAUUCAGAGAAACCCUGGAAUUAAAAAAGGGCAAUCCUGAGCC